AUUGAACGCUGGCGGCAGGCCUAACACAUGCAAGUCGAGCGAGCGGCGGACGGGUGAGUAAUGUUUGGGAAACUGCCUGAUGGAGGGGGAUAACUACUGGAAACGGUAGCUAAUACCGCACACCAUCAGAUGUGCCCAGAUGGGAUUAGCUAGUAGGGGGGGUAAAGGCUCACCUAGGCGACGAUCCCUAGCUGGUCUGAGAGGAUGACCAGCACAACUGGAAAGGAGACACGGCCCAGACUCGUACGGGAGGCAGCAGUGGGGAAUAUUGGACAAUGGGCGCAAGCCUGAUGCAGCCAUGCCGCGGGUGGGAAGAAGGCCUUCGGGUUGUAAAGCACUUUCAGCGGGGAGGCGUUACCCGCAGAGGAAGCACCGGCUAACUCCGUGCCAGCAGCCGCGGUAAUAC
rnacentral:rRNA from 1 species